GCUACAUUUCCUGGUUGUAAGCAAACCACAAUAUCCAGAAAUCAUAGUGAUUUCAGGAUGUGGAGGACUGCCCUGUGGAGGUGUAUGUGAGAAAUAUUGAAAUGUCUGUUUUUGCCAGCACUUUCAGCCAGAGAAUUUUGAAACGGAACUGUUGUCUCAACUGUUGGGGUUGCCAUGUUGUCGAAAGCUGAAAAGUGUUGCUAUUCCAUCGUUUUUCCCCUUCACUUCAAAGUGGAAGGCAUCUGAUCAGCCUAACAUCAGCGCAGCAGAAAACAGGACAAGCUGAGGAGGAAUUUCCAUUCAUUGAAUGUUCAGAUCAUCUGCAAUGCCUGUAUGCCGCCUCAAUGCCUGUAUGCCGCCUCACUGUAUGCUCCAAGUGGCCAGGGUCUACACACGACUCAUUCAUUCUGCGCCACAGCAGAGUAGGCCUGCAUCUAGAAGCUGGUGAGAGUGGAGGUGGGUGGCUUCUCGGUGACUGGGACUAUCCACUGAAAACGUGGCUUCUGACUCCCUUUGCCGAUCCCCGAACAGCAG
rnacentral:lncRNA from 1 species